rnacentral:rRNA from 1 species
UACGAAGGGGGCUAGCGUUGCUCGGAAUCACUGGGCGUAAAGGGCGCGUAGGCGGCCAUUCAAGUCAGGGGUGAAAGCCUGUGGCUCAACCACAGAAUUGCCUUUGAUACUGUUUGGCUAGAGACCGGAAGAGGUAAGUGGAACUGCGAGUGUAGAGGUGAAACUCGUAGAUAUUCGCAAGAACACCAGUGGCGAAGGCGGCUUACUGGUCCGGUUCUGACGCUGAGGCGCGAAAGCGUGGGGAGCAAACAGG